UACGUAGGGUGCAAGCGUUGUCCGGAAUUAUUGGGCGUAAAGAGCUCGUAGGCGGUCUGUUGCGUCGGCUGUGAAAACCCGGGGCUCAACCCCGGGCCUGCAGCCGAUACGGGCAGGCUAGAGUUCGGUAGGGGAGACUGGAAUUCCUGGUGUAGCGGUGAAAUGCGCAGAUAUCAGGAGGAACACCGGUGGCGAAGGCGGGUCUCUGGGCCGUAACUGACGCUGAGGAGCGAAAGCGUGGGGAGCGAACAGG
rnacentral:rRNA from 1 species